GCUACACAUGCAGUCGAACGCAGUAGCAAUACUGAGUGGCAAACGGGUGAGUAUAAUGUGGGAAUCUGCCCUUUGGCCUGGAAUAACACGAGGAAACUUGUGCUAAUACCGGAUAAGUCUUUACGGAGAAAGCUUUAUGCACCAUUGGAUGAGCCUGCACUUGAUUAGUUUGUUGGUGGGGUAAUGGCCUACCAAGACUGUGAUCAAUAGCUGAUUUGAGAGGAUGAUCAGCCACAUUGGGACUGAGACACGGCCCAAACUCCUACGGGAGGCAGCAGUGGGGAAUCUUGCACAAUGGAGGAAACUCUGAUGCAGCGAUGCCGCGUGAGUGAAGAAGGCCCUUGGGUUGUAAAGCUCUUUCGUCGGGGAAGAAAAUGACUGUACCCGAAUAAGAAGGUCCGGCUAACUUCGUGCCAGCAGCCGCGGUAAUACGAAGGGACCUAGCGUAGUUCGGAAUUACUGGGCUUAAAGAGUUCGUAGGUGGUUGAAAAAGUUGGUGGUGAAAUCCCAGAGCUUAACUCUGGAACUGCCAUCAAAACUUUUCAGCUAGAGUAUGAUAGAGGAAAGCAGAAUUUCUAGUGUAGAGGUGAAAUUCGUAGAUAUUAGAAAGAAUACCAAUUGCGAAGGCAGCUUUCUGGAUCAUUACUGACACUGAGGAACGAAAGCAUGGGUAGCGAAGAGGAUUAGAUACCCUCGUAGUCCAUGCCGUAAACGAUGUGUGUUAGACGUUGGAAAUUUAUUUUCAGUGUCGCAGCGAAAGCGAUAAACACACCGCCUGGGGAGUACGACCGCAAGGUUAAAACUCAAAUGAAUUGACGGGGACCCGCACAAGUAGUGGAGCAUGUGGUUUAAUUCGAAGAUACGCGCAGAACCUUACCAACACUUGACAUGUUCGUCGCGACUCUAGAGAUUAGAGUUUUCGGUUCGGCCGGACGAAACACAGUGCUGCAUGGCUGUCGUCAGCUCGUGUCGUGAGCUGUUGGGUUAAGUCCCGCA
rnacentral:rRNA from 1 species